rnacentral:sRNA from 1 species
AACAGUUCUUCUGCGGAUUUCGGUAUUGC